UGGGGAAUAUUGGACAAUGGGCGAAAGCCUGAUCCAGCAAUGCCGCGUGAGUGAUGAAGGCCUUAGGGUUGUAAAGCUCUUUUACCCGGGAUGAUAAUGACAGUACCGGGAGAAUAAGCUCCGGCUAACUCCGUGCCAGCAGCCGCGGUAAUACGGAGGGAGCUAGCGUUGUUCGGAAUUACUGGGCGUAAAGCGCACGUAGGCGGUUAUUCAAGUCAGAGGUGAAAGCCCGGGGCUCAACCCCGGAAUAGCCUUUGAAACUGCAUCGCUAGAAUUGUGGAGAGGUAAGUGGAAUUCCGAGUGUAGAGGUGAAAUUCGUAGAUAUUCGGAAGAACACCAGUGGCGAAGGCGACUUACUGGACACAUAUUGACGCUGAGGUGCGAAAGCGUGGGGAGCAAACA
rnacentral:rRNA from 1 species